rnacentral:rRNA from 1 species
UACGGAAGGUGCGAGCGUUAAUCGGAAUUACUGGGCGUAAAGCGCGCGUAGGCGGCUUGGUAAGUCGGAUGUGAAAGCCCCGGGCUCAACCUGGGAAUGGCAUUCGAUACUGCUGAGCUGGAGUACGAGAGAGGGGGGUGGAAUUCCAGGUGUAGCGGUGAAAUGCGUAGAGAUCUGGAGGAACACCGGUGGCGAAGGCGGCCCCCUGGCUCGAUACUGACGCUGAGGUGCGAAAGCGUGGGGAGCAAACAGG